UUUAUUUCUACUCAUGCACAGGGCUCGUCCUAAAACUAUAAAAGAAAAAAAAUCCAAAAGAGAAACGUAAGCUUUAAAAAGAAAGUCUCACUAGAGUAGUGGGUAAAAUAAUAUUUAAACUUUUUGGUUUAAAGAAAUAUGCAUUAGAAUGUUGAUGAGCUUAUUACCUUACUGAAUUGUUGUUUUUGCUUCUUUUUGUAAUUUCGUUAGUUUGAAUUUUCAAUGGCAGCUAGUAAAAUGAGAAUCCUGUCCAAAGGCCCCAAGCAUACUACAAGUUACUUCCAACAGCUUAUCUACCAUACACAAUACAAUUUAAUUUAUUAGUGAGAUACCUUCUAAAGUCGAAUGAAAUAAAUUAAUACUUUCAUCUCAAACAACCAUACAAGCACUCCCAGUAUAUUAAAUCUAUAUGUUCAAUUAUCAAUAUACUACUCAAAGUGGCUACAUAAUAGCCUAUUUUUUCUCUUUUAAUAGAAAACAUAGCAUAGAUUAUUGCACCUACUAAAAUAAAUAAUCAUAUUUCAUAUUUAGGAAUAAAGAGAAAAUCAGAAAGCACUAUCAUGUUUCUGCACGAAAUAAUAGUGUAUCAAGUGUUAAGUGUUAUUUAAGUUGGGAUGAAACUAAGAAGUUUUUGGAAGAAAAACAUAAGACGAUCAAGAAAUCUAAUUUCAUGUUCAUCUAUGGCAUUUAAUGAAAUAAGUCUAACAAAAAUGAAAAAUUAGUGUUGUUAUUACGAGAAAUCACGUCAAAUAACAAAAGAUGCAACAGUCAAAUUCAUAACAAAUAAUGGAGCUCAAAAUUAGUAGAAUAAGGAUAGAUAGACAAUGGCAAGGGCAUAUGCUUAAACAAUUUACCUUCUCACUCACGCUAAAACUAACCAAUUGUUCAAAGCUAAAGUUCAGCCACGCGCGCAAUGAAAGUCAACUUAUGAUCUCUUGCUUAAUAAACCAAACCAGUCGCAAACAAAAAGAACAAUACUAAAAGACUUGACUGUAAUAAGCUACCUAACACAUAUAAACCAUAAUUUGCCAUAAAAUGAAACAAAGUUCAUGAUGUGGCAAAACUAGAUUCAUUCAUUCUGUGCAAAAUAAAAUUAAUAGCCAGCCGGUAUGUUCAUUAGAUAUAAAUUAUCAUAAAACCAAAAGGCAUGACUGGUUUGCAAUAUGCACAACAUAAAUUGAUUCCACUUGACCCACCACCACCGCCAAUAUCAACCAACAUCACAAUCCAGCUACAACUUAUGUCUUAUAGCUAGCAUAACCGACACAUAAUUUACCAGGAAUUUUUUUCCCACUGCCUUGGCUUUAGAAUUUUGUUUUAGCUCGCAAGUUUUUGAAAAUGGCAACAACAUUGGAAGCUGUGUUUGCUUCUGAAAAAACGUAAGCAAAGGCAUUUUGGCAGCCAAAAAAACACUUAAGCAGCAAAAAUGUGAAAUCUCAAAAGGACAUAUAUAACUAAUGCGAAAUGAAACCCGAACUAUUCCUUACAAAAUAAAAUUGGUUUAUAUGCAGUUUUCGAGUUGCUGUAAUCCUUGUGUUGACGAAAAUGCACUUUUCCCUAAGAUUCUCUUUUCAUUUCAGUAUAAGAAUAUCUAAAAUACAAAUAAGCAUAAGCUUGAUGAGAAGAUUCUAGAAUAGUGGAUGUGAAUUAAGAAGGCAACUAACUAACUACAUAUCAGUGGAAUAUUACAUUUAUAAACCAUAAAAACAAGGUUGGCCUAGGCUAGCAGAUAGUGGCUUGCCUUGGUUAGUGCUUUCAAAUCAGGACGCCCGCAGCCUGUUUGGUGUUGUCAUCAG
rnacentral:lncRNA from 1 species